rnacentral:rRNA from 1 species
UUAAGCGACUAAGCGUACACGGUGGAUGCCCUGGCAGUCAGAGGCGAUGAAGGACGUGCUAAUCUGCGAUAAGCGUCGGUGAGGUGAUAUGAACCGUUAUAACCGGCGAUUUCCGAAUGGGGAAACCCAGUGUGUUUCGACACACUAUCAUUAACUGAAUCCAUAGGUUAAUGAGGCGAACCGGGGGAACUGAAACAUCUAAGUACCCCGAGGAAAAGAAAUCAACCGAGAUUCCCCCAGUAGCGGCGAGCGAACGGGGAGGAGCCCAGAGCCUGAAUCAGUGUGUGUGUUAGUGGAAGCGUCUGGAAAGGCGCGCGAUACAGGGUGACAGCCCCGUACACAAAAAUGCACAUACUGUGAGCUCGAUGAGUAGGGCGGGACACGUGGUAUCCUGUCUGAAUAUGGGGGGACCAUCCUCCAAGGCUAAAUACUCCUGACUGACCGAUAGUGAACCAGUACCGUGAGGGAAAGGCGAAAAGAACCCCGGCGAGGGGAGUGAAAAAGAACCUGAAACCGUGUACGUACAAGCAGUGGGAGCCUCUUAAUGGGGUGACUGCGUACCUUUUGUAUAAUGGGUCAGCGACUUAUAUUCUGUAGCAAGGUUAACCGAAUAGGGGAGCCGAAGGGAAACCGAGUCUUAACUGGGCGUUAAGUUGCAGGGUAUAGACCCGAAACCCGGUGAUCUAGCCAUGGGCAGGUUGAAGGUUGGGUAACACUAACUGGAGGACCGAACCGACUAAUGUUGAAAAAUUAGCGGAUGACUUGUGGCUGGGGGUGAAAGGCCAAUCAAACCGGGAGAUAGCUGGUUCUCCCCGAAAGCUAUUUAGGUAGCGCCUCGUGAAUUCAUCUCCGGGGGUAGAGCACUGUUUCGGCAAGGGGGUCAUCCCGACUUACCAACCCGAUGCAAACUGCGAAUACCGGAGAAUGUUAUCACGGGAGACACACGGCGGGUGCUAACGUCCGUCGUGAAGAGGGAAACAACCCAGACCGCCAGCUAAGGUCCCAAAGUCAUGGUUAAGUGGGAAACGAUGUGGGAAGGCCCAGACAGCCAGGAUGUUGGCUUAGAAGCAGCCAUCAUUUAAAGAAAGCGUAAUAGCUCACUGGUCGAGUCGGCCUGCGCGGAAGAUGUAACGGGGCUAAACCAUGCACCGAAGCUGCGGCAGCGACACUAUGUGUUGUUGGGUAGGGGAGCGUUCUGUAAGCCUGUGAAGGUGGCCUGUGAGGGUUGCUGGAGGUAUCAGAAGUGCGAAUGCUGACAUAAGUAACGAUAAAGCGGGUGAAAAGCCCGCUCGCCGGAAGACCAAGGGUUCCUGUCCAACGUUAAUCGGGGCAGGGUGAGUCGACCCCUAAGGCGAGGCCGAAAGGCGUAGUCGAUGGGAAACAGGUUAAUAUUCCUGUACUUGGUGUUACUGCGAAGGGGGGACGGAGAAGGCUAUGUUGGCCGGGCGACGGUUGUCCCGGUUUAAGCGUGUAGGCUGGUUUUCCAGGCAAAUCCGGAAAACCAAGGCUGAGGCGUGAUGACGAGGCACUACGGUGCUGAAGCGACAAAUGCCCUGCUUCCAGGAAAAGCCUCUAAGCAUCAGGUAACAUCAAAUCGUACCCCAAACCGACACAGGUGGUCAGGUAGAGAAUACCAAGGCGCUUGAGAGAACUCGGGUGAAGGAACUAGGCAAAAUGGUGCCGUAACUUCGGGAGAAGGCACGCUGAUAUGUAGGUGAAGCGACUUGCUCGUGGAGCUGAAAUCAGUCGAAGAUACCAGCUGGCUGCAACUGUUUAUUAAAAACACAGCACUGUGCAAACACGAAAGUGGACGUAUACGGUGUGACGCCUGCCCGGUGCCGGAAGGUUAAUUGAUGGGGUUAGCGGCAACGCGAAGCUCUUGAUCGAAGCCCCGGUAAACGGCGGCCGUAACUAUAACGGUCCUAAGGUAGCGAAAUUCCUUGUCGGGUAAGUUCCGACCUGCACGAAUGGCGUAAUGAUGGCCAGGCUGUCUCCACCCGAGACUCAGUGAAAUUGAACUCGCUGUGAAGAUGCAGUGUACCCGCGGCAAGACGGAAAGACCCCGUGAACCUUUACUAUAGCUUGACACUGAACAUUGAGCCUUGAUGUGUAGGAUAGGUGGGAGGCUUUGAAGUGUGGACGCCAGUCUGCAUGGAGCCGACCUUGAAAUACCACCCUUUAAUGUUUGAUGUUCUAACGUUGGCCCGUAAUCCGGGUUGCGGACAGUGUCUGGUGGGUAGUUUGACUGGGGCGGUCUCCUCCUAAAGAGUAACGGAGGAGCACGAAGGUUGGCUAAUCCUGGUCGGACAUCAGGAGGUUAGUGCAAUGGCAUAAGCCAGCUUGACUGCGAGCGUGACGGCGCGAGCAGGUGCGAAAGCAGGUCAUAGUGAUCCGGUGGUUCUGAAUGGAAGGGCCAUUGCUCAACGGAUAAAAGGUACUCCGGGGAUAACAGGCUGAUACCGCCCAAGAGUUCAUAUCGACGGCGGUGUUUGGCACCUCGAUGUCGGCUCAUCACAUCCUGGGGCUGAAGUAGGUCCCAAGGGUAUGGCUGUUCGCCAUUUAAAGUGGUACGCGAGCUGGGUUUAGAACGUCGUGAGACAGUUCGGUCCCUAUCUGCCGUGGGCGCUGGAGAACUGAGGGGGGCUGCUCCUAGUACGAGAGGACCGGAGUGGACGCAUCACUGGUGUUCGGGUUGUCAUGCCAAUGGCACUGCCCGGUAGCUAAAUGCGGAAGAGAUAAGUGCUGAAAGCAUCUAAGCACGAAACUUGCCCCGAGAUGAGUUCUCCCUGACUCCUUGAGAGUCCUGAAGGAACGUUGAAGACGACGACGUUGAUAGGCCGGGUGUGUAAGCGCAGCGAUGCGUUGAGCUAACCGGUACUAAUGAACCGUGAGGCUUAACCUU